GAUGAAGAACGCAGUGAAAUGCGAUACUUGGUGUGAAUUGCAGAAUCCCGUGAACCAUCGAGUCUUUGAACGCAAGUUGCGCCCGAAGCCACUAGGCCGAGGGCACGCCUGCCUGGGCGUCACACGUCGUUCCCCCCCCAUCUACUCCUUCGGGAUUGCGGGGGGCGGAUGAUGGCCUCCCGUGCGCCUCGCCGCGCGGUUGGCAUAAAUACCAAGUCCUCGACGACGCACGCCACGACAAUCGGUGGUUGCGAAACCUCGGUUGCCCGUCGUGUGCGUUCGUCGCGCAUCGAGGGCUCGAAAAAAUGCUCGGCUCCGGCUCGGCUUUCAAUGCGACCCCAGGUCAGGCGAGGUUACCCGCUGAAUUUAAGCAUAUCAAUAAGCGGAGGA
rnacentral:misc_RNA from 1 species